rnacentral:rRNA from 1 species
AGAGUUUGAUUAUGGCUCAGAUUGAACGCUGGCGGAAUGCUUUACACAUGCAAGUCGAACGGCAGCACGGGAGCUUGCUCCUGGUGGCGAGUGGCGAACGGGUGAGUAAUGCGUCGGAACGUACCGAGUAAUGGGGGAUAACGCAGCGAAAGCUGUGCUAAUACCGCAUACGCCCUGAGGGGGAAAGUGGGGGAUCGCAAGACCUCACGUUAUUCGAGCGGCCGACGUCUGAUUAGCUAGUUGGUGGGGUAAAGGCUCACCAAGGUGACGAUCAGUAGCGGGUCUGAGAGGAUGAUCCGUCACACUGGAACUGAGACACGGUCCAGACUCCUACGGGAGGCAGCAGUGGGGAAUUUUGGACAAUGGGGGCAACCCUGAUCCAGCCAUUCCGCGUGAGUGAAGAAGGCCUUCGGGUUGUAAAGCUCUUUCAGCCGGAACGAAACGGUACGCACUAAUAUUGUGUGCUAAUGACGGUACCGGCAGAAGAAGCACCGGCUAACUACGUGCCAGCAGCCGCGGUAAUACGUAGGGUGCGAGCGUUAAUCGGAAUUACUGGGCGUAAAGCGUGCGCAGGCGGAUUGUUAAGCAAGAUGUGAAAUCCCCGGGCUUAACCUGGGAAUGGCAUUUUGAACUGGCAGUCUAGAGUGUGUCAGAGGGGGGUGGAAUUCCACGUGUAGCAGUGAAAUGCGUAGAUAUGUGGAGGAACACCAAUGGCGAAGGCAGCCCCCUGGGAUAACACUGACGCUCAUGUACGAAAGCGUGGGUAGCAAACAGGAUUAGAUACCCUGGUAGUCCACGCCCUAAACGAUGUCAACUGGUUGUUGGGGGGAGUGAAAUCCCUUAGUAACGAAGCUAACGCGUGAAGUUGACCGCCUGGGGAGUACGGUCGCAAGAUUAAAACUCAAA